rnacentral:rRNA from 1 species
AGAGUUUGAUCCUGGCUCAGAACGUACGCUGGCGGCACGCCUAACACAUGCAAGUCGAACGAAGUAGCAAUACUUAGUGGCAGACGGGUGAGUAACAUGUAGGUAUCUGCCCUUUGGCCUGGAAUAACACGAGGAAACUUGUGCUAAUACCGGAUAAGUCUUUACAGAGAAAGCUUUAUGCACCAUUGGAUGAGCCUGCACUUGAUUAGUUUGUUGGUGGGGUAAUGGCCUACCAAGACUGUGAUCAAUAGCUGAUUUGAGAGGAUGAUCAGCCACAUUGGGACUGAGACACGGCCCAAACUCCUACGGGAGGCAGCAGUGGGGAAUCUUGCACAAUGGAGGAAACUCUGAUGCAGCGAUGCCGCGUGAGUGAAGAAGGCCUUUGGGUUGUAAAGCUCUUUCGUCGGGGAAGAAAAUGACUGUACCCGAAUAAGAAGGUCCGGCUAACUUCGUGCCAGCAGCCGCGGUAAUACGAAGGGACCUAGCGUAGUUCGGAAUUACUGGGCUUAAAGAGUUCGUAGGUGGUUGAAAUAGUUGGUGGUGAAAUCCCAGAGCUUAACUCUGGAACUGCCAUCAAAACUUUUCAGCUAGAGUAUGAUAGAGGAAAGCAGAAUUUCUAGUGUAGAGGUGAAAUUCGUAGAUAUUAGAAAGAAUACCAAUUGCGAAGGCAGCUUUCUGGAUCAUUACUGACACUGAGGAACGAAAGCAUGGGUAGCGAAGAGGAUUAGAUACCCUCGUAGUCCAUGCCGUAAACGAUGUGUGUUAGACGUUGGAAAUUUAUUUUCAGUGUCGCAGCGAAAGCGAUAAACACACCGCCUGGGGAGUACGACCGCAAGGUUAAAACUCAAAUGAAUUGACGGGGACCCGCACAAGUAGUGGAGCAUGUGGUUUAAUUCGAAGAUACGCGCAGAACCUUACCAACACUUGACAUGUUCGUCGCGACUUUAAGAGAUUAAAGUUUUCGGUUCGGCCGGACGAAACACAGGUGCUGCAUGGCUGUCGUCAGCUCGUGUCGUGAGAUGUUGGGUUAAGUCCCGCAACGAGCGCAACCCUCACUUUUAGUUGCCAUCAUUAAGUUGGGCACUCUGAAAGAACUGCCAGUGAUAAGCUGGAGGAAGGUGGGGAUGACGUCAAGUCCUCAUGGCCCUUACGUGUUGGGCUACACACGUGCUACAAUGGUAUCUACAACAGGAAGCAAGACCGCGAGGUCAAGCAAAUCCUAAAAAGGUACCUCAGUUCGGAUUGCACUCUGCAACUCGAGUGCAUGAAGCUGGAAUUACUAGUAAUCGUGGAUCAGCGUGCCACGGUGAAUGCGUUCCCGGGUCUUGUACACACCGCCCGUCACACCAUGGGAGUUGGUUCUACCUUAAGGCAAGGUUUAAAACCCUUGACCACGGUAUAGUCAGCGANCUGGGGUGAAGUCGUAACAAGGUAACC